CAAUAGCGUAUACUCAUGUUGUUGCAGUUAAAAAGCUCGUAGUUGAACUUCUGGUAGGAGUGUCCCGGCCUUUUUGUUUUUACAAAUUGUAUGCUGUGUGACAUCUCUGGCCAUCCUUCUUCUUUGUUUAAAGAAGAUCUUUCACUGUAAAAAAAUUAGGGUGUUCAAAGCAAAAGUUUCUUUGGAAUAUAUUAGUAUGGGAUGAUAAGAUAGGCUCUAGAUGCUAUUUUGUUGGUUUGCACAUUUAGAGAAUGAUUAACAGGGACAGUUGGGGGUAUUCGUAUUUACAUGUCAGAGGUGAAAUUCUUGGAUUUUGGAAAGACGAACUACUGCGAAAGCAUUUACCAAGGAUGUUUUCAUUAA
rnacentral:rRNA from 1 species